UGCACUCCAGCCUGGGUGACAGAGCGAGACUCCGUCUCAAAAAAAAAGAGCACUCUCUAUCCUUUGAAAACUCACUGGAGAUUCCGGACAUAAGAACUGCUUCAUUUCUUUCUCUUGCCCAUUGGAAACAAGCUUUCUAGAAUACAUUAUAAUUAAAUUAAAUUGUACAGGUAUAAUGAAAAAAUUAACAGUGUUCCAUGGAGAUCUCUUCCAUGAACUCAUGCUUAUUUUUAAUAACAUCAGUAUCUUUAGGGAAAGUAAAAAUGUGAGCAACCAAAUGGGUAGGUUAGAGAGUGAGAGCAGGGGAGGAUGUGGAAUCCACACUGCUCACCCUGAGACGCUCUCGUGGCUUCAGCAGCGUGGCUCUGGCAGUGACAGCCCGUCGCACUGAACACCCUGCUUCUCCAAGGCGUGGAGUGACAGCUCAGUGUGACCAGACCACCCAGGUUAAAUGGCCUGCAUGCUGAGGCAUGGUGUUCUGGACUAUGGUCAGCCUUUGUUACACUCCUGAAACAUUUAUUUUAUUUUAUUUUAUUUUAGCUUAAAAAGCUGUAUGAAAUUAUUUUUUGUAUCAUGUCUAAAAAUGAAAUUUUUCUCAGUUAACCCCAACUGUACUAACUUAUUCAGAGAGUGCUGGUUUGUGGACUCUUCUCAUGUUUCUUGGGUGGUAUCUAUAUUUUAACCAUUUCUCAAAUCAUUAGCACCUUUAUUUUUAGCAUUUUUGGCAGGCCAAAAAUAUAGAGGAGAUAAAAAUUGAACUCAUUGGUUUAGAUGCAUCUUAAUAGUUCUAGCAAAAGACUCUUUGGAAAUUGGAUUUUAAUUAUAACUUGAAAUAUGAAUUUUAUUCAGUAUUUCUUGUUGAUAGCCAAGCACAUUUAAGGGGAAAAAAAUUGUUUCAGAUUUUUAGUCAUUCCUAUACAUCACCACUUCCCAUACUGAAAAUUUGAGAAACUACUUAGUACUAGUUCUAACUGAUCUUUGGCGAAGUUUGUGGUAUCAUUUUCUUUUUCUUUUUUAAAAUAGAGACGGGCUCUUGCUGUGUUGCCCAGGCUGUGCUCGAACUCCUGGCCUUAAGCAGUCCUCCUGCCUUGGCUUCCCAGAGUCGGGAUUACAGGCAUGAGCUACCACACCCAGCCUGACUAUCAUUUUCAAGCUAGAGCUGUAGCUGAAAUUCUGGGCUUGGUAAGCACUCAGCAUUCCUCAGUAACAGGACUACCUGUGGAGAAUUCCUUCAGAGCUGGGCAUGGUGGCCCCCACCUGCAAUCCCAGCACUUUGGGAGGCUGAGAUGGGCAGAUUGCUUGAGGCCCGGAGUUCGAGACCAGCCUGGCCAACAUGGUGAAACCUGGUCUCUACUAAAAAUACAAAAAAAAAAAAAAGAGCCAGGCAUGGUGGCAUGUGCCUGUAGUCCCAGCUAUUUGGGAGGCUGAGGCAGGAGAAUAACUUUAACUCAGGAGGCGGAGGUUGCAAUGAGCUGAGAUCGCACCACUGCACUCUAGCCUGGGCGACAGAGAGACUCCAUCUCAACAAUAACAACAACAAAAAAGAAGUCCUCCAGUUACCGAUGUGCUUUCAUUUUAUUUUCCAUUCUUUGGCUCUUAACUCUGUUAUUAGUUUAUAUAUCCCAGGCCCCGGUGGUAGUAACUACUUUACCCAGGCCUGUUCAGGCAUCCCUCACUGUCCAGCUUCUGUCCUUUCCACUAGGCCUAUAAAAUGAUCAAACUUUUUUAUAUGCACAAGUAUUUUCAUGUGUGUCCCCUCUGUCUUUGUCGUAAACGAAACUUUGUGUUUCUCCCAAACCUGUAUGUCGUGAGCAGACUUCUCGAAGGGAUCACUCACCACAGCUCACUGGGAACCUAGGUAGAAGGGUACCACUUCCAGACCAUUGCUCUCGCUGCCAUCAGCCUCACUUUUUUUUUUCACUGUUUACUACAAAACAAAGUAAUUUCAAGAUAUUUUUUAAAAUUGACGUUAAGAAGCUAGAUUAGGUAACUUCUUAUAAUAUGUGACAUUAAAUAUUUUGAGAAAUUCUUGGUUUCAUUGGAAGGCAUUUGUAAUGAUAAACCUUUUUUCAGUUAUAAUAAGAUACUAAGCAGAGAUAAUUUUGUCAUCCCAGAUAGCAAUUUCUUAUUAACAAUUGAUAAUAUUUGAACUGAAAGAGAUUCUUGGCUUUAUUUCUAUAUUUUUUUCUAUUUAGGUAUUUAACUUUUUUGACAUCCUCUUAUCCCCUCAAUAGGAUCCGAAAUAUGUCUAAAAUUAAUUCAAAAGAAAACUAUUUGAAUUAUUGCUUGUGUUUGAAAACAGUACUUACUGUAGUAUUCCACAGUUUCUUCUUUUUUUUAGGCUAAGACAAUUAAAUAAAAAUGUAAUGGAUAAGAAAUAUAGUUGAAGUCACAAUAAAGUAUAUUUUCUUUUAUGGACAUAAAACAUAAAUUUUAAAUGUUGGCUAUUUAAGAAAAAAAUUCUCCUGGUAAAUAUUAUGCAUAACCAUUGCUCAAAAAUGUAUACAGCUGUUUUCCAACAUAUUUAUAUACAUAGUGGUUCACUUAAGACCAGCCCUGUUAGAACCUUCUGAAUAUAAUGUGCUCUUAAUUUAUAAAUGGGCUACCCUCAGUGUAUAAAAUAUAUAGGCAUAUAUGUUAUACAUACAAAGUAAAAAAUAUAAAAAGGAAAGAUGGAAGAAAAAAGAAAGUAUCCUUUCCUAUAAGAUCCAGACAGAAAGUCAUUAUAAUUAGUGGGACCAUGGAAAAUAUUGGAAGGAUUUCAGUUUUGGCAAAUACUUUUCAGAAAAAUAUCCAAGCUAUGAGAACACUAAAUGUCUAUCUUAAUAAUUUAGUAGAUGUUUCUAUUCAAACAUUCAGUGAAGGUGUUUCCAUCUUCUACUAUGUAGAAAAGAAGACUUUUGGGGUGUCUGUUAAAAGCGAAGAGCUGCUCAUUUUUAACAGCAUUAAUCUGAGGUUCAAACCGCUCCAUUGUGACGGCGGAGAAAUCCUCAGGUUCAAGACUCCAUACGACGACUCCUUCUGCAGCCCCUGCCGCCAUGGCAGCACCCAAUGCAGUGGUUUCGGGCAUCAAGGGCUUCACUACUGGAAUAUACAGAAUGUCUGCUUGUAGCUGCAUAAGAAUUUUGUUGCUGGUCCUUCCUCCAUCAACCUGCAAAUGACUGAGUGGAAUUCCACAGUCUCAAUUCAUGGCAUCCAAAAUCUCUCGAAUAUGGAAACAAACAGCUUCUAAUGCAGCAAAAGCAAUAUGGCAUUUAUUGGUAAACUGAGUGAGUCCACAGAUUAUCCCUCUUGCGCUGGGCUCCCAAUAAGGUGCAUAUAACCCCGAAAAUGCUGGGACGAAGUAGCUGCCAUAAGAAGUACCUACUUCUUUAGCAAGUUUUUCAAUUUCUUCUGAGGUCUUUAUAAUUCCAAGAUUGUCUCUUAGCCAGCGAAUAACAGCACCAGCUAUAGCUACAGAACCUUCCAAAGCAUAAUAUACCGGUUUGUCUCUGCCAAGUUUGUAAGCCAUUGUGGUGAGAAGGCCAUGAUCAGAAAAUACACACUUAUGGCAUGUAUUACAUAGUAAGAAAUAUCCUGUUCCAUACGUAUUUUUGGCUUGUCCAAUCUGGAAACACAUUUGUCCCACCAGUGCAGCAGACUGGUCCCCUGAACACCCAGAUAUUGGCACACCUUCCAAGGCCCCAGCUUUCAUUAGGCCAUAGAUCUCAGAAGAACUCCGAACAUGUGGAAGAAUUUCCGUUGGAAUUCCAAAAAAUUCACAGAGUUGUUUAUCCCAUUCCAAAGAAUGAAUGUUGAAAAGCAUAGUCCUACUUGCAUUUGUUACAUCUGUACAGUGGACACCUCCAUUGACGCCUCCUGUCAAACUCCAAAUAAGCCAUGAAUCAAUAGUCCCAAAAAGAGCUCGUUUUUCUUCAACGGCCUUUUGAACUUUUCUCACAUUGUCAAGGAGCCAGCGAAGUUUCACUGCACUGAAGUAAGUGUUAAGUGGAAGGCCUGUCUUGGACUUGACAAAGUUAUUAUUUCCUGGAAUUCUCUUACUAAGACUCUCAACGGUAGACUGUGUUCUUAGUUCAAGCCACACCACAGCAUUGUAGAGAGGCUCUCCAGUUAUCUUGUCCCAGACUACAGUGGUUUCCCUCUGGUUGCUGACACCAAUAGCUUUUAUGUUGGAAAUACCAAUAUUGAGCUGUCCAAGUUUCUCACAUGUUUUCGCUAUACACUCAUAGACAGAAUGUAGAAUUUCCUUAGGGUCCUGUUCCACCCAUCCUUCUCUUGGGAACUCUUGUUUUAUUUCCACUUGAUGAUGACUAAGUAGUUCAGCUGUUCUUGAAUUGAAAACCAAAAAGCGCGUGGAACUGGUGCCCUGGUCCACUGCCCCCACCAAUGGCCCCAAAACUGCCUUUUUUGAGGCUGCCAUGAAACCAGCUUCAGGUCCGCCCGCAUUUGCGGCCGGUUUCCUGGGUGACGGCGGCGGGAGGGGGAGGGGCGAGUGAUGAGUCCAAAGAGCGAGGCCGCGCGAGUCCGCUGAACCAGCCUCACUUCUUUACUGGCUGGCUAGCAGGCUACUGCAUUCUCUCUGCAGCUCAUUUUCUCCCUUGGCCUCCAGGCAUACAUCUGUCUUUAACACUGAGAUUAUCUUUCCCUGUGUAUUUUGUUUCUCCUGCCAUAAACGCCUUCAGAAUCUAUACUGUUGGCUCACGUGAGACUCCUUCAUAGCUCCUUGUGACUAUCAUCUUCCCCCCACAAACCCAUUCAUCACCUUAGACUGCAGUUCCAGGGUCUGUUGGACCUUUCUGGUAUUUAGAACUCUGGGGUCCCCACCUUGGUUCGGACUAGAUGUGUGCCUUCUCAUUCUCUUGUAUUUCUUCAUAAAUCUGUGCUCUUUGGCCCUUGUUCUUCCAGCCAACUCUUGGCCAUUCAGCCUAGACCCAGUAGUCAGUCAUUUCAAAGCUAUUCUCUUUAUGUGCCUGGCAUUGCCCACACUGUUGUGUGUGAUAGAUAACAGGCUCAAUACAAUUUAACCCUUGCUUAUAAUCUAACUUUAUAGUCCAGUAACAAUAAACUCACACCCUAAUUAAGUAUAUUUGGAAUAUGCGUUAUUCUCUGUAAAACCAGUUUUUAUAACAGUUUCUUCUAUAGAAAAUUUACUUCAAUCAUUUGCCCACCUUUCUAUAAUUUAGGCUAGGAAUCACUGCUUGGAAUAAACAUCGGUUAGAAUAAACUCGAUUUGAAUGCCGCCCUCUUGAAA